CUCCUCCCUCAUUUUUCAUUAUGACAUAUAUAUUAGCUACCUCGGUUGUCUCAACACCCAGGGUUAGAAAUAAAGGUAGCAUUGAAAGAGCAAGAACAACUUCUUGUAUAUAUCCAUGGCGGAGCGGAGCAACGUUGGAAACCUUGGGUUGGCGGCGACAGUCGCCGUGGUUUCAACCGGCAUCAUCCUCAUCUCCUUCCACCUUAUCCGCCGCCUCAAGGACAAUACCAAGCUCAACAAUAUCACCGCGCAAGAGCAACAGAGCUAGACGAUCAAGAAUGAGAUGCAGUUCACGGAUGACGUGUUGGCGGAUCUCUUCCCGGACGACGAGGAGUUUGCCAGCUGGCUAGAGGGUAUGACCGUGACUGGUGGCCUAAUCCAGUCACCGUUAUGAAGGGUCCCUCGAUUCAACAAUUUGGCAGACAUGCUUAAUUAAUUAGCUAGUAUUGCAGCUGGUCGGACAACAAGAAAUUAAGCAACAUUUUGCAUGCACAUCCAGUCAAGUUAAUUAUUAUUACCAUCUCAUUUAUAAUAAUUAAGGUGUUUAA